CGGAGGUGGUUCACGCACGUCCGGGAGCCUAGAGCUGGCAUUUUCUCCUGGCCAUCGGCCGGGUAGGGCAACCUCUCAGGCAGUUAUACCUGAGGACCAGACCCAGUGACCUCUCCAGCUCCACCUGGCUGGAGCAGGUGACCAUUGUCGUGCUGACAUAAGGAGGACUUGGAGACCUGGAGUACUAAGGGGAGCCACCCCCUGAAAUAUGGAGCUGUGGGGCCAAAUGUUACGGGUUCUCCUGUCUGGCCCAGGGAGGAGGGGAAUCACCCAGGGCUGGGCCUUCAGCUCAUGGUUACCCCAUCUGCCUCUGCCUGGGUUGUCAAAUGCCACAGAGCUGGUCAGCCACUGGACAGCAGUCUUUGAGAAGAGGGGCAUCCCUGAGGCCCAGGAAUCUAGUGAGUACAUCGUGGCUCAUGUCCUUGGAGCUAAAACAUUUCAGGGCCUAAAGCCAGUAUUUCGGACCCAGCCCUUGACCCCGAGGCAGCUUCAGCAGAUCCAAGAGCUGAGUAACCGCCGAUUGCAAAGGAUGCCUGUGCAGUACAUACUCGGGGAGUGGGACUUUCAGGGGCUCAGUCUGAAGAUGGUGCCCCCAGUGUUCAUCCCUCGGCCAGAAACAGAGGAGCUGGUUGAAUGGGUGCUGGAGGAGGCGACACAGGGGUCCUGUGAGGUGGGAGCCCAAGGCGGGCCCCUUAUCCUGGAAGUAGGCUGUGGGUCGGGAGCCAUCUCCCUCAGCCUGCUGAGCCAGCUCCCCCAGAGCCGAGUCAUUGCAGUGGAUAAAGAAGAAGCUGCCAUCUGCCUGACUCAUGAGAAUGCUCAGAGGCUGUGCCUGCAGGACAGGAUUCGGAUUGUCCCCCUUGAUGUGACCUUAGAGGGGAGCUGCACACACCUUCUGCCUUGGGGGCCAAUGGACCUGGUUGUCAGCAACCCUCCCUAUGUCUUCCAACGGGACAUGGAGCAGCUGGCCCCUGAGAUUCGGAGCUAUGAAGAUCCAGGAGCCUUAGAUGGUGGAGAGGAGGGCAUGGACAUCAUUACCCACAUCCUGACCCUGGCACCUCAGCUGCUGAAGGACUCUGGAAGCAUCUUCUUAGAAGUGGACCCAAGACACCCAGAACUUGUUGGCAAGUGGCUCCAGAGCCGGACUGACUUGUCCCUCAAUCUCGUGGCUGUGCGUAAGGACUUCUGUGGGAGGCCUCGGUUCCUGCAUAUCCGGAGGUCUGAGCCACAGCGUGACUUCCCUGUGGACGUCUGGCCGGGGCCCCAGCCUGCCAGAGAGUCUGGCUGACACUUCUUCCUGGAAUGCUACUUGGAGGGAGGUGGAUGGUGCCUCAUAGAACCCCAGAUGCUUGCAGUAUUUCCUAUGGCUUUGUGAUUCGCCAAGCUUUACAUUACAAGGAUACUUGGGGGUAGAAGCAACAGAGAGUUCCUUCCUAAGGCAGCAAAGAGCAAGGACACUCAUAGUCCAGCUCAGGAGCUAAGUCGACCCAGCUUCUCAGUCUAGUUCUGUCAUGCUGGUUCCGCCCAGGACAGUGGCGCAGCCUUGGUGGGUUGAUUUGUUCUGGUGACAUUGGGAGUUAUGGCUAAUAAAGCAUCAAGAGACCUACAAGUAGUGACCUGUUAGGAUGAUUUGUGUGUCCCGUGUCUUCUCACACCAAGGCUGUGCUGGGGGUAGGAGCUCCCUUUUGUCCCAGCUAGCCAUCAGGCCCAAGGUCACAUUCUGGUGAGGGCCUGAGGCUGAGAUCUGACACAGGCUGGUGUGACUCCAGCAUUGUAGCUCAAAUUCAAGGCCCAACCAAGCCAGUGGCUGCAGACUUGAGGCCCUGCCCAGCUAGUCUACUUGGCCCUGACUUCUUCCCCCAGGGGAGCCAAGUCUCACAUUUUUCUGGGAAUGAAGUUGUCUCCAAAACCUGCUCCAGUGACCCCAGCCGCCCCUGCAUGGUCACUUUCCAUCAUUAUGCUCCAUGCGGUGCCAUAACCACACGCUUGCCAAGGUCUUUCCUCAGUAAUGGGCCUGAGGCCAGAAGAGUGGGCCUGUCAGGGAAACUGGUACUGGCUGAAGUAUGGCCCAGGUUGUGGGACAAGGGGCCAGAAGACCCCUAAUUGAUUCUGGCCACUGCUUUGAGAUGUCUCUGAAGAGGGGCAGUAGGCUAAAAGGUCUGAGCUCAGAAGGCUACCCACUCUGCCCUCCAGAUUCCUUCUGGCAUAGCCACGAGGAGACCUGGGGCAACUUGGGGUCCAUGCAGCUGGAGCAGGUUAAAGGACCACGCUGUCUCUGGCCACUGCACUACCACAUCAGAGCCUUGAAAGUUCCAAGAUGGGGGAAGAAAAGACUAACGAAAAGAGCCAGCCUCAGCUGGCAUGUUGCUCAGGACCCACCCUGAUACUGCCUCACCUAGCACCUGCCAACCUGGAUGUUUCCUGUUGUUAUGGACAGAAGGACUGGGCCUUCAGGCCUCCAGGCGGCCACGAGUCUGAGUAGCUCAGAGCUGGCAUGGACGUCACAACCUGGUGUCCACUCUGUCUCAGCUUCUCACUCUCCCCAGGGACAGAUGGGUUAUCUGAAACCCCAAGGUCAACCUGGCUAAAAGUUAUGGGGAUAAAAAGUAAACUCGCCCUUCUCUGCUCACUUCACUGGUUUAAACCUUCAGUUAAAUGAAUGUGACAUGUGACCCCAGAAUUGUGCAGAAAAGACCCUCAGUCCCAUCCCCUCCCAAAGGCAGACCGUCAUCCUGAGCUGAAACUCAGAUGCAGCUCCCCUGCUCAGAGCCGGGGCCCAGCCUGGGAAGUGUGUGGGAGGGCCAGGCCCCUAGCCCCGGAAGCCUGGAGCAGCCGCUGCUUGCCUUCCUCUGCCUGGCCUCCCCGCCACAGCCUUGACUUCCCAGCCGGACAAAGGGAAACACGUGUUUGUGCUUAACAGGGUGUUCGUGGUUGUGAGGCGCCUGUGGGAUGCACCUUUCAUGGGGCAGGGUAUUUUCAUUACCUGCCUCACAGGGCAGACGUAGGGAGGGCACUGUACCCUUAUGGGCCUGUCUGGUGCUUGGCUCCAUCACACGCAGGCAGAAGCAUAGCAGUCUGGGAUGGAGGGAAGGCAGGGAUUCCAUCUUGGGCUCUUAACUUCUCGCUGCCCUCUGGAGAUGGAGCCUCCAAGAGGCCGGUAGCCAGGCAGCGACUCAUCUCCUCUCAGCCCCUCCCCCUCGCCAGGGUCUGAGUGCCCUAAAUGCCAGUCCAUAGCAGCAGGCAUUUCAGCCUAGGGAAAGCCAGGCUCACCUGCCCUAUCUGCCAUCCCUGGGGCUGGGACCAGACAAAAGCUUCCUCCUGUAGCAGGUGUCGUGGAGCCCUGCAGGCAGAAGGGCAGGAGAACUGGAGCUGAUGGUGGAUCCGGCCUCUGCAGCCCCUACGGCCUGGAGCGAUGUGCCUACUGCCCACCAGCCUCCUUCAGCCCAGCUCAGCAUGGCCAGCGGAGUCCCGAUCUGACCAGCUAAGGGAAGAUGGCAAUGGAAGAGGAUCUGGAGACCCUCCCAAGGCCCCAUUUGUGCUCUGAGUAAGCUUCCAUCGGUGCAAAAGUUUUCACCGCUGACAAGCUAUGAGAUCUGCUGACCUUCAGUGAGGAACCCUGUUAAGCUCCGCAGGCCAGCAUGUCCUUUUCCAUCCACCUUUGGAUUCUUUCCUCCACUGCCCUGGACUCUAGCCUCCCUGUGGAGUGCAUUCCCUAAACACUCCUCUCCUUUCCCCCAGAAGUGGGGAUGCCCUUGCCUACCACUGCCAGUCCAAAUCACAUUCCCCUUCAAACUCCAAAGGCUGCCUCCUCUAAAACACCCAGCCUGACCUCUGUUCUCUCCACCCGCCCCUUGCCCAUACUUCUGCCAGCACCCAUGGCAUUUUGCCCCAUGCAUUUGGAAACCUCCCUGUCUCCUUCAUCUCUCUAGGGCCCCAUGUGGCUCUGGCAUACCACUCAGUAAAUGUC